GAAACCAAAAUAAGCUUCCUAAAACACGAGAAAAUAUUACUCCGAUCAGUAAUAUAUCACAAGAAAUAUUCAAGUUGAACAUUUGCAGUAAUGGCAUUGAGAAAGAUAACGAAGUACACAUUGAUGAGGUUAUUAAUGAUUGUGAAUCUGAUAUUGAGAUAUUAUCUACAGCAGAAUGUUUUUAUGAUUUUAUACCCUUGAAUACACUUUUAAAGAAGAAGCUUUGUAAAAUUGUGAAUAUACCAAGCAAAAAAAUAUCCAAACAGAAUUCUUCAAAUUGUUAUAACAUAGGCCAACCAACUGCUUGCAAAACUAUCACAGGUGAUGGAAAUUGUCUAUUUCGAGCCAUUUCAUAUUCACUAUCUAAUAGACAAGAAUAUUUUGGAGACAUACGAAAGGCAAUAGUUGAUCAUUUGUUAAGAAAUGCAGAAGUUUUCAAGUCAUUUUUACAGCCAAGAUUUAAAACUGUAGAAGAGCAUAUACAAACUCUCAGAAUGGAAGAAAAUAAUGUAUGGGGAACUGAACUGGAAAUAGUAGCUUGUGCUGACCUCCUUAAAACAGACAUUUAUACUUUUUAUAACAACUCAUGGAUUAAAUAUUUUUCUUCUCAAAUAUGUAGCAACAAUUUUGUUAAUGAUCAAGCAAUUUAUCUUCAACAUAAUGGAGAUAUCAAUCAUUAUGAAGUUGUCACAGCUGUAAAACAAAAGACUAUAGCUAUGUCACCAAAUGGAUUACAAUCUAGACAAGAACAUGAGAAAAAGUAUGAAAUUUCAAGGAAAUCUGAGGUAACAACAAAAAAAAUGAAAAUUGAUGAAGACCAGAUGAAUGACUUCCUCAACAAUACUGAAUCAAAAGUGUUAAAAAAUGAAAAAGAAAGGAUCAGGUACAUGACAGAUGAUAAAUUUAGAGCUAGAAAGAUAGACGCAUCAAAAAGAAAAUAUCAGGAGAAUGAAGGAAUACGUUCAAAAAAAAUAUGUUCAGGUAUUAAAAAAUAUGAAGAAAAUGAAACAUACAGAGAGAAUUUAAAACAAGCAGGAAUUGAGAAAUAUAAUGAAGACAAUGAGUACAGGGAAAAGCUGAAACAAGCAAGUGUACACAAGUAUAAAGCAGAUGAAAAGCACAAUGAACAUGUGAAACAAGCAAGUAUACACAAGUAUAAAACAGAUGAAAAGCACAAUGAACAUGUGAAACAAGCAAGUAUACACAAGUAUAAAACAGAUGAAAAGCACAAGGAUCAUGUGAAACAAGAAAGUAUACACAAGUAUAAAGCAGAUGAAAAGCACAAGAAACAUGUGAAAAAAGCAAGUAUACUCAAGUAUGCAAAUGAUGAUGCACACAGAAUUAAGAUUAAACAACAAACAUCAGUACGUCGUGAAAGUCUUCAGGUAGAAAACAAGCAAAUAACUGAGGUAAUAAGAAAAUUUAAAGAUGAAGUUAAAAAAGGUCCAGAAUGUGUUUGUGCUUGUUGUUUGAGACUGUUUUUUGAAAAACAGGUUCAGAUCUGCAAGAAAGAAUCUUACGAUAAUUCUAUAUUUGAUUCAGUUACAACAAAUAAAUAUGAACACAAAUGCACAGAUAAUUGUAAGACAAAUUGUGCCUUUGAAGGAACAUGUAGAACAAGUCUAUGGAUCUGUUAUACUUGCCAUCGUAAAAUGUUGAAAGGUAAAAUACCUGC
rnacentral:lncRNA from 1 species